rnacentral:rRNA from 1 species
AACGAACGCUGGCGGCGUGCUUAACACAUGCAAGUCGAACGGGAUCCAGAGCUUGCUCUGGUGAGAGUGGCGCACGGGUGAGUAACGCGUGGAUAACCUGCCCUGGUAUCUGGAAUAACAUCUCGAAAGGGGUGCUAAUACCGGAUAAGCCCACGGGGUCCUCGGACUCUGCGGGAAAAGGUGGCCUCUGAAUAUGCUAUCGUAUCAGGAUGGGUCCGCGUACCAUCAGCUAGUUGGUGGGGUAAUGGCCUACCAAGGCGACGAUGGUUAGCUGGUCUGAGAGGAUGAUCAGCCACACUGGAACUGAGACACGGUCCAGACUCCUACGGGAGGCAGCAGUGGGGAAUUUUGCGCAAUGGGGGAAACCCUGACGCAGCAACGCCGCGUGAGUGAUGAAGGCUUUCGGGUCGUAAAGCUCUGUCAGUGGGGAAGAAAUGGUGUUGGUUAAUACCCAGCAUUCUUGACGGUACCCACAAAGGAAGCACCGGCUAACUCCGUGCCAGCAGCCGCGGUAACAC